GCACAAGCGGUGGAUGAUGUGGUUAAUUCGAUGCAACGCGAAAACCUUACCCACCUUUGACAUGUACGGAAUCCUUUAGAGAUAGAGGAGUGCUCGAAAGAGAGCCGUAACACAGGUGCUGCAUGGCUGUCGUCAGCUCGUGUCGUGAGAUGUUGGGUUAAGUCCCGCAACGAGCGCAACCCUUGUCAUUAGUUGCUACAUUCAGUUGGGCACUCUAAUGAGACUGCCGGUGACAAACCGGAGGAAGGUGGGGAUGACGUCAAGUCCUCAUGGCCCUUAUAGGUGGGGCUACACACGUCAUACAAUGGAUGGUACAAAGGGUCGCCAACCCGCGAGGGGGAGCCAAUCCCAUAAAGCCAUUCGUAGUCCGGAUCGCAGUCUGCAACUCGACUGCGUGAAGUCGGAAUCGCUAGUAAUCGUGGAUCAGAAUGUCACGGUGAAUACGUUCCCGGGUCUU
rnacentral:rRNA from 1 species